UCUUAUCCAGCCAAUAUGAUGAAAAAAAAAAAAAAACAAUAGGAAGGUGAACAGCAAUGUUCAUUACACUUCCCCACUCCCAGAAUAUCCAGUAAUUUUGUUAUUGAGUGCAGUGCGGACAUCAGGGACCCUUGAGCAACCUACAAAGCUUCAGAUUUCUGGUGCCUAAUCUGUAGCAGGGGAUUUGAACCACUAUGCCUCACAUUCUGAAUUCACACCCUAGGUAAAUAGCCAUUCUAAAAUGAUUUUUUUUUUUUUUUUUUUUUUUGAGACACAGAGAGAAAGAGAAAGAGAGCAAGAGUGUAAGGAAGAGCUCUUCUACUUCAUGAAAGGACAAAGCUCAUUUUGAUAGAAUUCCAAAACAAAAGUCUGGGUGUACGUCAGAUGCUACUAAGGCCUUAGCGUAAACCCUUCAGGUAUGGCAGAGUAUCUUUCAGUUAACUCUGGUUGAAGCUGGGUUGGUCUACAUAACUGCACUUAGUUCAACAGAUAGAUUUAAAAUUCCUAUCAAUCAGAGAUGAUUAUGUGUCACCCAGGAAAUGAAAGGUCAGCUUUAAGAGAGCUCAGAAAAAAAAAAAAAAAGAGGUAAUUAAAAGGUUUUUUUAUUAUUAUUUUAUUAGAACUUCUCUACAGAAUUUGACUGUCA
rnacentral:lncRNA from 1 species